UACACCGGUUCUCGUCCGAUCACCGAAGUUAAGCAGCGUCAGGCUCGGUUAGUACUUGGAUGGGAGACCGCCUGGGAAUACCAAGUGUUGUAGGCU
rnacentral:rRNA from 1 species